rnacentral:rRNA from 1 species
CGCGAAUCGCCCUUCGGGGUGCACCAGGCGCGAAAACUUUGCAAUGCGGGAAACCGUGACAAGGGAACUCUGAGUGCCCGUUAAAUCGGGCUGUCCAUCGGUUUAAAUAACCGGUGAAGAAAGGGCCGGGCAAGACCGGUGCCAGCCGCCGCGGUAAUACCGGCGGCUCGAGUGGUGACCACUAUUACUGGGCUUAAAGCGUUCGUAGCUGGUUUGUUAAGUCUCUGGGGAAAUCUUCCGGCUUAACCGGAAGGCGCCUCAGGGAUACUGGCAGACUAGGGACCGGGGAGGUGAGAGGUACUCCAGGGGUAGGAGUGAAAUCCUGUAAUCCUUGGGGGACCACCUGUGGCGAAGGCGUCUCACCAGAACGGCUCCGACAGUGAGGGACGAAAGCUGGGGGAGCAAACCGGAUUAGAUACCCGGGUAGUCCCAGCUGUAAACGAUGCGCGUUAGGUGUAUCGGUGACCACGAGUCACCGAGGUGCCGAAGAGAAAUCGUGAAACGUGCCGCCUGGGAAGUACGGUCGCAAGGCUGAAACUUAAAGGAAUUGGCGGGGAGCAC